AUGGUGAUGGUGGAUGGCAGCUUGGACGCAGAGAAGAUCGCAGGGUAUUUCAAGGGCAAGAGCAUCCUCAUCACCGGCGCCACUGGCUUCCUCGGAAAGAUUCUUGUGGAGAAGAUACUCCGGGUGCAGCCAGACGUGAGGAGGAUCUACCUGCUCGUGCGAGCCAUGGACGCCCACUCCGCCAAGCAACGCGUCGAGGCAGAGGUGACAGACACUGAGCUCUUCUGCCUCCUGAAAGAGAAGCAUGGCAAGGGAGGAUUCGAGCUGUUUGUGGAGGAGAAGGUUGUCCCUUUGGCCGGUGACGUCGUCUUCGAGAACAUGGGGCUAGAUGCUCCCAGGUUGGAGGAGCUGGCCAACGAGGUCGACAUCAUCGUCAAUGGAGCUGCAACCACCAACUUCUACGAAAGAUAUGACGUUGCGUUGGAUGUGAAUGUGAUGGGGGUGAAGUACCUGUGCCAGUUCGCCAAGAAGUGUGCCAAUCUCAAGAUGCUCCUCCAUGUUUCCACCGCAUUUGCAGCCGGCGACAGGGAAGGGCUGAUCAUGGAGAGGCCGUUCAAGAAGGGGGAGACCCUGAGGGAAGGCACCUACCUGGACAUCGACGCCGAGCUGCGGCUGGCCGGCGACGUGAAGAAGGAGCUAGAGCGGCAGGACGGCGGCGGCGGCGGCGACAAGACCAAAAGGGAGCGGAAAGGCAUGAAGGAGCUGGGGCUGGAGCGCUCCCGCCACUUCGGGUGGUCCAACACGUACGUGUUCACCAAGGCCAUGGGCGAGAUGCUGCUGGGGCAGCUCCACGGCGCCAUCCCGGUGGUGAUCCUGCGGCCCAGCAUCAUCACCAGCAUCCUCAGGGACCCGCUCCCCGGGUGGAUGCAGGGGACGCGGACCAUCGACACCAUCAUCAUCGGCUACGCCAAGCAGAACCUGUCGUGCUUCCUGGCGGACCUGGAGCUGACCAUGGACGUGAUCCCGGGGGACAUGGUGGCCAACGCCAUGAUGGUGGCCAUGGUGGCGCACUCGGAGGAGCAGGGCGCGGAGGUGAUGUACCACGCCACCUCCUCGCUGCGCAACCCGGCCCCCUACGGCGUGCUCUACGAGUCCGGCCGCCGGCACUUCUACGAGAACCCCAGGCUGAGCAAGGACGGGCGGGUCAUCCCCACCAAGGAGAUGCACUUCUUCAAGACCAUCGCCAGCUUCCACUUGUACAUGCUCAUCAAGUACAAGCUGCCACUCGAGAUCCUGCACGUGGUGAACCUGCUCCUCUGCGGCCUCUUGUCGCAACUCUACGACGAUCUCAACCGGAAAUACAAGUUCGUCAUGCAUCUCGUCGACGUCUACGGUCCCUUCGCCUUAUUCAAAGGAUGCUUCGACGACAUCAACUUGGAGCGGCUGCGAUUGACCAUGACCAAGACAAGCCCGGAGGAUGACAUGUUCAAUUUUGAUCCCAAGACCGUCGACUGGAACGACUACUUCUACAAAAUCCACAUACCGGGUGUCCUCAAGUAUGUGCUCAAGUAA
rnacentral:rRNA from 1 species